GAUGAAGAACGUAGCGAAAUGCGAUAAGUAGUGUGAAUUGCAGAAUUCAGUGAAUCAUCGAAUCUUUGAACGCACAUUGCGCCCCUUGGUAUCCCGAGGGGCAUGCCUGUUCGAGCGUCAUUUCACCACUCAAGCCUGGCUUGGUGUUGGGCGACGUCCCCUUUGGGGACGCGCCUCGAAACGCUCGGCGGCGUGGCACCGGCUUUAAGCGUAGCAGAAUCUUUCGCUUUGGAAGUCGGGGCCCCGUCUGCCGGAAGACUUACUCGCAAGGUUGACCUCGGAUCAGGCAGGGAUACCCGCUGAACUUAAGCAUAUCAAUAAGCGGAGGA
rnacentral:misc_RNA from 1 species